UGGGGAAUAUUGGACAAUGGGGGGAACCCUGAUCCAGCGAUGCCGCGUGUGUGAAGAAGGCCUGCGGGUUGUAAAGCACUUUCAGUUGGGAAGAGAGUUUGUUGUUGAAUAGACAGCAGAUGAGACGUUACUAACAAAAGAAGCACCGGCUAACUCUGUGCCAGCAGCCGCGGUAAUACAGAGGGUGCGAGCGUUAAUCGGAGUGACUGGGCGUAAAGGGCAUGUAGGCGGUUAUGUUAGUCUGAUGUAAAAUACCCGGGCUUAACCUGGGAUAUGCGUUGGAAACGGCAUAGCUAGAGUAUGGGAGAGGGAAGUGGAAUUUCCGGUGUAGCGGUGAAAUGCGUAGAGAUCGGAAAGAACACUCGUGGCGAAGGCGGCUUUCUGGCCCAUAACUGACGCUGAGGUGCGAAAGCAUGGGGAGCAAACAGGAUUAGAUACCCACGUAGUCCCUGAGCGGGCUGGCAAGGCGCAU
rnacentral:rRNA from 1 species